GCCGAUGUAGCUCAGCUGGUUAGAGCGAGCGUUUCAUACGCGCUAGGUCCGUGAUUCGAAUUCACGCAUCGGCA
rnacentral:tRNA from 1 species